AUCGCGAUAGCUGGUAGAGCAUCUACCCGGUAUGCGGAGGGUCGCCGGUUCGAUUCCGGCUCGCGGGG
rnacentral:tRNA from 1 species